rnacentral:lncRNA from 1 species
GUGAACUGGCCAAUAGCAUUUGAGGAGACAUAGGUGUAUGCCUUUCUAAAUUAAAGGAGGCUAGACAAGGCCUUUUCUUGUUAUUUUCCUUUGCUAGACAGGAGCUGUCUCUUCGGUGUAGUUCAGUAUGGUUUUGGUUUUGCUUUUUGUGCUUUUGGUGAAAUAUCCAAAAUUAUUAUCACCAGGAUCAAAGUUAUAGAGUUUUUUUUCCUCCUGUUUUCUCUUUUAGGAAAUCUGUGCUAUCCAAUCUUACAUUUAAGUCUUUAAUCCAUUUAAAGUUCUGUCCCUCAGCAGAGGAAUGGAUACAGAAAAUGUGGUGCAUUUACACAAAAUGGAGUCCUACUCAGCUAGUAAAAACAAUGCAUUUAUGAAAUUCUUGGGCAAAUGGAUGUAUAUGGAAGAUACCAUCCUGAGUGAGGUAACCCAAUCACAAAAUAAGUCACUUGAUAUGUACUCACUGAUAAGUGGAUAUUAGCCCAGAAACCUAGAAUACCCAAGAUACAAGAUACAAUUUGCAAAACACAUGAAACUCAAGAAGAACGGAGACCAAAGUGUGGACGGACACUUUGCCCCUUCUUAGAAUUGGGAACAAAACACCCAUGGAAGGAGUUACAGAGACAAAGUUCGGAGCUGAGAUGAAAGGAUGGACCAUCUAGAGACUGCAGCACCUAAGGAUCCAUCCCAUAAUCAGCCACCAAACAUAGACACUAUUGCAUACGCCAGCAAGAUUUUGCUUAAAGAACCCUGAUAUAGCUGUCUCUUGUGAGGCUUUGCCAGUGCCUGGCAAAUACAGAAUUGGAUGAUCACAGUCAUCUAUUGGAUGGAACACAGGGCCCUCAAUAUAGGAGCUAGAGAAAGUACCCAAGAGCUGAAGGGAUCUGCAACCCUAUAGGUGGAACAACAAUAUGAACUAACCAGUACCCCCAGAGCUCCUGUCUCUAGCUGCAUAUGUAGCAGAAGAUGGCCUAGUGGGCCAUCAUUGGGAAGAGAGGCCCCUUGGUCUAGCAAACUUUAUAUGCCCCAGUACAGGGGAAAGCCAGGGCCAAGAAGUGGGAGUGAGUGGGUAGGGGAGCAGGGUGGGUGGGAGGGUAUGGGGACUUUUGGGAUAGCAUUUGAAAUGUAAAUGAAGAAAAUAUCCAAUAAAAAGGGAACAAAAAGUUAUGUUUUGUUUAUGGUAUAUGAAUUCAAAAAGUAAUUCUUUUGAGUGUGGAUUAUCUAGUUACCCAACAGCAUAUAAAUGGUGUUCCUUAUGUAAUGUGUAUUCUUGGCACCUCUAUAAAAGUCUAGCUGAUCAUGAAUAGGUUCAUUUCUGGGUUCUAUUUUCUAUUCCAGUGAUCUAAGCUUGUUUCUAGAAUGGCAGAAGUAUCUCACCAAUGUCUGUACCCCCAUUUCCACUUAGGCAAUCUUACUAUAAACAUAAAUCUUCACUAAGAUAUAAAUGUAUGAAGAAAAUGAACCAUAUAUUCAUUGCACACAGUAGAUAUUAUUCAAUCACAAAAAAUAAUGAAAUCCUUCCAUGCAGGAGAACAUGGAUGAAUCUGGAUGAUAUUGUAAAUUAAAUAAUCUUGAUAUACAACAUACUAUAGGAUCACAUGUACAUCUGAAAUUUAAAACUGGUUGAAUUCAAAGUAAACAGUAACAGUGGUUGUCAGAGGCUUGGAGGUAGAGAAUAUGGGUACAUGGUGGCCACAAUUAUAAUACACUCUUGUUUAUUUUAAAUUUGCUAAGAGUAGAUCUUACUUGCCCUCACCACAUAUAAUUUUCCCCCAUUUCAUGCCAUAUACUAUAUCAAAUAAAUCAUUGUAUACCUUGAAUGUAUAUAAUUUGUCACUUAUACUAGCUUCAGUAAAGCUAGAAAAAAAAUCCUCUGAAUCACUUCAAAACAGAAGUAUGGAAUUGACCACCUAGGAAUAAUCAGCAGUAUUUUUCUGCUAGGCAGAAAUGCUAGACUUUAGAGUCUAGAUGGAUCAGGUUGGAUUCCAAACUGAUCAAGGCAUCCUACAGUCAUUAGUGAAGGUAUCCUAGAGUCAGUAGUGAGGAAAGACACUAUGCUGAGUCUAGUGGAAGUUCAGUGAAUUGCAAUUAGCUGUUAUCAGUGGCACAUCACAAACUAUAACUUGAUUUUUGAGAUAUCUCCAACAAGGUAAACGUUAAGAACAGGCUUACUGGACCAUGGCGGUAUUGGCCAUUGAAGUCAAUAGGAGUCAGCCAUCCUGAGUACUAAGGGAAGUUAGGUAGUCAUCAGAUGCUGGUGUCUGCCCU